rnacentral:rRNA from 1 species
AGCACUGUAGCCUACGGGAGGCAGCAGUGGGGAAUAUUGCACAAUGGGCGAAAGCCUGAUGCAGCCAUGCCGCGUGUGUGAAGAAGGCCUCGGUUGUAAGCACUUCAGUGUGAGGAAAGGGGUGGUAGUUAAUAACUGCAUUCUGUGACGUUAACAACAGAAGAAGCACCGGCUAACUUCGUGCCAGCAGCCGCGGUAAUACGAGGGGUGCAAGCGUUAAUCGGAAUUACUGGGCGUAAAGUGUGCGUAGGUGGUUUGUUAAGCAAGAUGUGAAAGCCCAGGGCUCAACCUUGGAACUGCAUUUUGAACUGGUAGACUAGAGUACUGUAGAGGGUGUGGAAUUUCCAGUGUAGCGGUGAAAUGCGUAGAGAUUGGAAGGAACAUCAGUGGCGAAGGCGGCCACCUGGACAGAUACUGACGCUGAGGAACGAAAGCGUGGGGAGCGAACAGGAUUAGAUACCCAUGUAGUCCA